GGCUUAGACAAGAACGACUUACAUUGCGCCGCCGACCUCUGUGACGGCCUAUUCGGCAAGCAAUUCCGCUUGUCAUCGAAACUAGGCAAGGCCAGACACACCGGAGGCUCGCCGGUGAAGAAGUUAUAAGAGUAAGUGAAGUUCUCCAGCCUCGGCAACGUGCAAAUAGCCGGCGGAAUCGACCCAGACAGCAAGUUAUGAGCCACAUUGAGCUGCUCAAGGCUCACCAUCCCUCCAAUUGUGUCCGGCAGCGAACCCAAGAACUGAUUGUAGCUGACGUCGAACACCGUCAAGUUCUUCAGCAUCCCAAUCUCCUCCGGCAAGCAGGACCUGAACCCAUUGUUCAUCAGAAUAAUCUCGUUCAGGUUCGACAUGUUGCCCAGGCUGGAAGGAACGCAACCGUGGAACUUGUUGUUGGCCAGAACGAUGACGGAGACCGGCGAGUUCCCGAAAUUAUCCGGCAGAUCGAACCUGAACCGGUUAUGG
rnacentral:lncRNA from 1 species